rnacentral:rRNA from 1 species
AAAGCGUGCGCAGGCGGUUAUACAAGACAGGCGUGAAAUCCCCGGGCUUAACCUGGGAAUGGCGUCUGUGACUGUAUGACUAGAGUGUGUCAGAGGGGGGUAGAAUUCCACGUGUAGCAGUGAAAUGCGUAGAUAUGUGGAGGAAUACCAAUGGCGAAGGCAGCCCCCUGGGAUAACACUGACGCUCAUGCACGAAAGCGUGGGGAGCAAACAGGAUUAGAUACCCCGGU